CCUACGGGCCGCAGCAGUGGGGAAUAUUGCACAAUGGGCGCAAGCCUGAUGCAGCCAUGCCGCGUGUGUGAAGAAGGCCUUCGGGUUGUAAAGCACUUUCAGCGGGGAGGAAGGCGCCAAGGUUAAUAACCUUGGCGAUUGACGUUACCCGCAGAAGAAGCACCGGCUAACUCCGUGCCAGCAGCCGCGGUAAUACGGAGGGCGCAAGCGUUAAUCGGAAUUACUGGGCGUAAAGCGCACGCAGGCGGUCUGUCAAGUCGGAUGUGAAAUCCCCGGGCUCAACCUGGGAACUGCAUUCGAAACUGGCAGGCUAGAGUCUUGCAGAGGGGGGUAGAAUUCCAGGUGUAGCGGUGAAAUGCGGAGAGAUCUGGAGGAAUACCGGUGGCGAAGGCGGCCCCCUGGACAAAGACUGACGCUCAGGUGCGAAAGCGUGGGGAGCAAACAGGAUUAGAUACCCCUGUAGUC
rnacentral:rRNA from 1 species